rnacentral:rRNA from 1 species
CAGCAGCCGCGGUAAUACGUAGGGUGCGAGCGUUAAUCGGAAUUACUGGGCGUAAAGCGUGCGCAGGCGGUUCGUUAAGUCUGUUGUGAAAGCCCCGGGCUCAACCUGGGAAUGGCAAUGGAUACUGGCGAGCUAGAGUGUGUUAGAGGAUGGUGGAAUUCCCGGUGUAGCGGUGAAAUGCGUAGAGAUCGGGAGGAACAUCAGUGGCGAAGGCGGCCAUCUGGGACAACACUGACGCUGAGGCACGAAAGCGUGGGGAGCAAACAGGAUUAGAUACCCCAGUAGUCCCUGUCUCUUAUAC